CUAACAUGCAGAUGCUCAGCCAGGGCGACCCACAGCUACCGAAUGUUUUGCUUUUGUUUGUAUUGGCUGUAACGGCACGUUAGAAAUGAAGUGAUGUGUUUAGAUUGCCUGUUUUUGUGUGAUGGUCUAGACAGCCCUUCCAUUGCUCCUCUCUCCUUCAUUGCUGUAGCACAACAUUAAGAUGGUGAAUAGGCACUUCAGGGUUAUUUGGGAGCUUUUCAGGGAAUUAUAAGCAGAGGGGAGAGGGAAAUAAUGAGGUGCGGUGGCAGAAAACAGACUAAAUGAAGAGAUAAGGGACAAGAUUAUUAUUGUGAAAAGUGGCAAAGUCAGCACGCCUCCUUCAGGGUUCAGCAUAAAUAUAAAAUUACUGAAUUUUACAGCGUUUUUACAACCCACCGGUUCUUGAAUCAUUUCUUUUUAUCACUACAUUUUGUUUUCCUGAAAGAUUUUUUUUUUUUUUUUUUUUUUUUUUUAAAUCAUGUGCAUGCUGUGAAUGCUUUGAAUUUCAAAGAGUUGCAAGUGCUGAAUUAUUUGUAGGGAGAAAACUCAAAUAUUAUGAAUUUAUUCAUCCCAAAAUAAUCAUGCAUAUUCAUGAGUCCUGUCUGCAUAAUAUUUGAGGGGGUGGGGCAGACACAAUGGGUACAGAGCAAAAUCAUUUGUGACAUCAUCUGUUCUUUGAAAUUCUUGGUUAAUUUUAGAAUUUUUCCAUCCCCAAUAAUCAUAAUGAAUAAACUUUAAUUUGGAAAUUAGGCCAUUUCCAAUUUGUAUAUACCUUGAAAGCUCCCUAAUGCCUGUGGUCCAUGGAGAUAAGCAGGGUAAAAAUCAGCCAGCCAGCAGCAGGUAGACUGUAUCAAGGACAGCAGACAUCUCCCCUCCUCUCUAACACCAACAACCUCAACACUCACACCCAAACACAUGCAGCCUGCUCUGCUCUGUCUAAACAGAGGUGUUUGUCUACCAUAAAAGCUCCCCAAGGAAUUUCUUGUGUUUGUAAAAAGCUAUAGAAAAGCUUGCAUAGGAUUCCACACAGUUCCUUAAGGUUGUCAAGCAACCGUAAGGCGGGCAGAAAAAAGGGAUGGAGGUUGGAAAGAGAGACGAUGGGGGAGAAAGAAGACAGGCAGAUAAAGAACAAUCUCCUUGACUGCUUGUGAGGAUGUCACAAGGAUAUAUAAAGGUGGAUUUCUGUCCUGCUAUGGAUUUAAGAAGAAAAGAAAAAACAAAAACAGAAAAAAGGUAUUCAGAUGAAAAGUUGAUGGUAAUAUAUCCUGUUUCUAUUUUUUUUUUUCAGAGCCGUGCAAUUAACAGUAUCGUCCCUGCCUUACCAUUAAAUGCACAAUCAAAUCUGCUUUUCAGCUUUGCUGACUAAAAUGCCCCUGCCUCCAGCCCCCAUGGGAUAUCCAAGCUCAAAUAAUCUAGUCUCAGUCUGUAUCACCUCACUAAGCUUUGCAUAAUCAAGUGAAAUCUGCAAGUUGCAACCCCGUCACACUUGCUGUGGCUCAGGCCGUAUGUACAUUGCAUUAAUAUGUGCAGAGCCACCCUGUUCUUUAGGAUAUCCUCUGAUGCAUCGGUGUGACUGGAAUCAUGAUAAUUAGCUUCUGCCUUAAAAUUAAGCCACCUGUAGUCAAUGCAAAUGGCAGCAAGGUGACUUCUGAUUCUCUGAUUCUAGUUUUGUCCUCUGUGGGAUAUGAUAUGAUAUAUGAUAUGAUUUGAUAUGAUAUAAUAAAGUCUGGCUUGUAGGCAGAUGGACUUUACUUGAGUUAUCUAUCUGUCUGUUUGCCUGUCUGUCUGUCAAAUGUCUGUCUGUCUGUCAAAUGUAUGUCAUGCAACAAAUAGAGAACGAGAAAAAAAGAGAACAAGACCCAUUUACGUGAACCAAAAUAAACAGUUUGUUCUUGAGACCUGCAGAUUUAUUGAAGCCACUGAGGUAAAAAUGUCCCCAUACAGAGUUGAGGCGAGUUUACAAAAACAUUUGCAGCCUUCAUUCUCAGGUCUUAAUAUAAAAAAGCACAAAGAGAAAGUGAAAAAAAGUGAGUGAGAGCACUUAUUUACUCCGCAAAGUCCUUAUUAUUAUUGUAGCCUCAUCUUGAUAUAUUGAACGCUUAAAAACUUGUCAUGAUUUCUCAGGGGCUCAACACUUGAGUCAGCCAUGACUUUUUUGGUUACUUACAGCAAUUUACUUGUUUGUCUUGCAUAGUCGAUUUUUAUGCUAUGGAAAGAAUUUAAACAAGUAUACAACAACUAAAACAACUCCAUGUAGAUUAACACAAUGAACAUAAAUAUCAUAGUAAAUAUUGGAAUUACGAGUUCUGAGCACAUAAAUGACCAAGAAAAGACAUUAAUAAGUGGGAAACUCGAAAUUCUAGAUGAUACCAAGUAAAUAAUACUAAACUUUAUUUUAUAUAGCUCCUUUAAAGAGGCCUCUCAAGGCGCAUUACAUAGAAAGGAAUAAAAAUACGGAGCUUAAUACAAAGAGAGUAAACAUGUAUCUCGAAAAAGCUAAUGAUAAAAUAUAGAAAAUAAAAUGAUAAUGAUAAAUUAAUUGAAAACAAUAGGAUCAAAUAAAAGCCUCACUGAAAAAUACGUUUUAAAAUAUGAUUUAAAUACAUUAAAAGACUGAGCUUCUCUAAAUUCUGAGGAUAGAGAGUUCCUUUCAGAGCAUAAAAAGAGAAGUCCCUGUCACCCAUAGAGCGUAAACAAGUCUGAGGGACAGUUAAAAAACAGAUUUAGAGGAGCGGAGAUCUUGCUUUGGGGUGUGUGGGGUUAAACGCUCAGACAAAUAUUGGGGAACCAAACCAUGCAAAGCCUUGUAUGUAAGCAUAAGAAUUUUAAAAUCAACACGAAACCUGCCAGGGAGCCAGUGCAAGGAUUCCAAGAUAGGAGUGAUGUGAUCGCUUGCCCUGGCCCUAGUCAGGAUUCUGGUAUCUGAGUUUUGCACAUAUUGCAAUUUAUUUAAUGUAGAUUUGAGACCUCAGCAAGGAGAGCAUUGCAGUAAUCAGUGCGAGAGAAGACAAAUUUAUUGAUCAGCUGUUCAGCCACAGAGAAUGGUAACAUAGGGCGCAGUCUUGCAAUAUUUAUUUAUUUAUUGAUUUUAAUGUUUUAUCCCCUUUUCUCCCAAUUUGGAAUGCCCAAUUCCCACUACUUAGUAGGUCCUCUUGGUGGCGCGGUUACCUCAAUCCGGGUGGUGGAGGACAAGUCUCAGUUGCCUCCUCUUCUGAGACCACCUUAUCACGUGGCUCGUUGUGCAUGACACCGUGAAGACUCUGCAUGUGAAGGCUCAUGCUACUUUCUACAAUCCACGCACAACUUACCACGUGCCCCAUUGAGAGCGAAAACCAUUAAUCACAACCAUGAGGAGGUUACCCCAUGUGACUCUACCCUCCCUAGCAACCGGGCCAAUUUGGUUGCUUAGGAGACCUGGCUUGAGUCACUCAGCACACCCUGGAUUCGAAUUCGUGACUCCAGGGGUGGUAGUCAAGUCUUGCAAUGUUUCUGAGAUGAAAAAAUUAUGUUUUAAAAGUGUUUUUUUUUUUUAACAUGUGGAUCAAAUGACAAAUUUACAUCAAAUAUAACACCAAGAUUUUUCACUUUUGUUUGAAGCUCCAAAACUGAGCCCUCAAUGGAUAGAGUUAAGGAGCCAGCCUUACGAAGCUGGUGAGGAGACCCAAUAAGCCUAAGUCUUAUAAGUCUUAUUACUGUUAAGACAAAGAAAAUUUUUAGUCAUCCAAGUUUUUUGAAGUUUGAAAAAAAGGCAUCUGCCAAAUUUUCACCAGGCUUAGAAUGAAUGUAGAUCUGUGUGUCGUCUGCAUAGAAAUGAUAAUUAAGACUCAGUGAUCUUAAAAGCUGAUCAAGAGGAAAAAUUUAAAUACUAAAAGGUUCAGGGCCCAAAAUUGAACCCUGUGGGACACCAGAGUGGACUGAACCAAUCUCAGACCUGUAACCACCCAGAGAGACAAACUGCCUACAAUCAGAGAGAUAGGACCUGAACCUGUUGAAUGCUGUACCGGAGACACCAAAGACAGAUUCAAGACGGGUGAGUAUAACAGUGUGAUCAACAGUGUCGAAAGCAGCACUGAGAUCAAGAAGAAUGAGAAUAGAAAAAGAGCCUGAGUCUGAAGCCAUUAACAAGUCAUUAGUGACCUUGACUAGAGCCGUUUCUGUACUAUGAAAUUUACGAAAACCAGACUGAAAUGGCUCAAAGAGAUCACUGAAAAUGAGGUGAUUGUGAGUUGAUGUUGGAAGAAGCGUGUUGACACGAAAGAUGGUGGAAAGCAAUGAUUAAUACAAAAUUAUUUUAAUUUCAGUGCUUUAUUUCAAUAAUAUUAAUUUGUUAUAUAUGACAGAUCUUAUACUGUAUUCAACAAAUGUAAAGCUAAUGACUCAACCUUCACUGAACGUUUUAUGCAAAUGAUUUAAUAAUUUGCUUGAUAACAUGCAAUUAAAAUAAUUUAGGUUGUGUAAAUAUGAUGCAGUUUAAUGUGCAUAUGCUUAUUCACCUGUUCAACAGAAAGAAAAAAAACUUUUAUUGUCGUUUAUUGUGUAUUUAUUUUAGUUUGGCUUCUUUAUUUUGUUUCUGACCUGAAUGCAUGUGUGAUGUAAUAAUGAAGGCCCAUCUCGGAUGUAGAGGCUUUCCAGGUGCAUUUGAAGGCAGCAAAAUUUCCUAUUGAAACAGGAAGUUUCAAAUCAAAAUCAAAUCAAAUCCCUUUAUUGCCACUUAACCAUAUACUCAAGUGCAGCAGUGGGUGAAAGUCUUGGGUGCAGUUCCAAGCAAAAUAGCAGUAUGACAAUUACAGUAAACAUAAAAUACAAUAAAAAAAUACAAUAUACCCCCCUUUAGUAAUGUCACAGACAUAAACCAUGGUUUGCUACAUGCUAGGUAUCAUGGAGAGGCACGUGUUAGUGAUAUUUUGAAUGGACAAAAAUCUGUGUAGUGCACCAUGAGUCAUCAGUGUUUUUGGUCCAUUUUCCAAAGACUUCCAGUAAAAUUUAUAUAGCGUAUUUAUGCUAAAAUUUAAUUUAGUCCCUCAUUUCAUGAGUGGUGCUCGGAGAUGGGGAGGGUGGCGGCCUUUGAGGAAGGGAUGUAUAGAAGGCUGGGAAAUCUGGGGUUAUUUGAUAGGAAAUGGGGCUGAUAUUUGGCCUUUUUGGAAGGCUUUCGGGGACGGGUAGUGGAGAGGGAUCUCUAGUUUUAAAUAUGUGUGUGCAGUUUCAUUGUUUUUUGAAAAUAUGCUUUUUAUUAAUUUAUUUUGUGUGUGUGUGCAUGUUUUGUGUUUUUUUUUUUUUUUUUUUUUAUAUUUAUGACCACUGGGGUGAGUGUUUGUGUCAGGUGGGGGUGUUCGGGGGGAAGGGUUUAAUUGUACAUAAUUUGAUUCCACAUUUUCUGCGAUGUUUAUUUAAUUUGUUGAAUGAAUCAAUAAAAAUUGUUAAUAUAUAAAAAAAAGUUAAUUUAGUCAACAACUGCAUGUUAAUGGCUCUAAAGGUAAUAGACAAUAACUAAAAUCCAUAAAACUCGAAUUUUGAUUGCAUGACAUGGCUUCAAGUUCAAAUGUCUUUUAUUUACUCACCAUUUUGUUAAUAGAUCUUCAACGUAAAAGUCUUUGCUCCUUCCAGUUUAUCCUUAUCACCAGAACUGCUUGAAACCCACUGCUUUCUCCACAGAUCAAUUUAAAAAUCAUUAGGGUGCUCUUUGGCAGAUUCCUACCGACACUUAUGUUAAUCAGUGCUGUUAAUGUUACCCUGUUUAGAAGCUGAGAUGACACAGGAGGCUUUCAGCAACUGCAUGGUGACAUCUCAUUGACUUUUGCAGGCCUUUGUCCUUCUGUUGUUAGAGAGUCAGGAUUGUUUUCAUCUGGAAAUGUAGCUAGUUGCUGUCCACAAAAACCUGUGUUUAUUCUUACAAAUAAAAAUUAAAAAUGAAUCUUUG